CAUGGAUUAGUUAAACAAAAAUACAAAAAUAAAAUGACAAAUAAUUCCUAAACCCCAUAACUAUGAGGCACUAGAUACUCAAAACAAUUGCCUAGAAGUGUCAUAUAACAGUGAUGCAGGGAACACAAUCUAUUUGUAUAGAAUGUCAUCUAAGCAUAAAAAAAACUAGAAGUUCAGUAAACCGAUAAAAAAAAUGGUGCACUUGACAGUUAAUGUGACAAGAGAAAUACUACAUUAUGAAUACUAAGCUAGAGGAAGGGAGAUUAUUCAAUGACUAUCGAACCCAUAAACUAGUAAAAGACAAAGAAAAUGUGAGAUAGAGUGAGGGCAAUCCUUCACUGUAAUUUUUGCAAUAAUGAAGAUAUAGAGAAAUUGCAAUAAUGAAGAAGCAUAAGAAAACCCUAAAAAAUAUACUGGUGCUACUCCUUCAUUGCAAUUUUGUCAAGACCUUAAGCAAAGAUUUACAAAUGAUGUAGAUAUAUCAUGGAAUUAAACCGUAAUUUAUGGGUCCAUUUAUUAGCAAAUGAAGAAGUGCGCUAGCACAUUUAUCACGCCAUAACAAAUAAAGAGCACAAAAAAAUUUGAGAUUAACAGAGAAAAAAAGAAAACUAAAUCAGAAAAAAAUAUCAUCU
rnacentral:lncRNA from 1 species